rnacentral:precursor_RNA from 14 species
GAUAUUGCAGAUUUGCCUGUCCUCUGUAUGUACCCUGUAGAUCCGAAUUUGUGUGAGCGCAAUCAUAUCACAAAUUCGUGUCUGGGGGGAUAUGCAGUUGACACAAACGCUACAGAAAGACG